GGUCAGGCGAUUCGGGUUAAUUUGGUUCUGUUAUUUGGUUCAUGUCGAUUCAGUUCGAUUACUUGGUUCAGGUCAAUUCAGGUAUCAGUUCAUAUCAGGUCAAGUCAAUUUCGAAUCUGUUUCGAUUUCGAUUCGGAUUAUUUUCGGGUUUCGGAUUAGUUUCGAGUCGUCAUUUUGGGCCAAUUGGAUCGGGAAUCGGAUUCGAAUCACUUGGACGGGGGAAGGUUUCAGUUAGACUGUGAUAGACUGGUGAUACUGUGAUAGACUGUGAUCUUCCCUCUGCUCUCGGCGGAUAGCUCCUGCAUAAUAUGGAGGUAGGAUGAAGCGGUGCAUGUGCAUCAAGCUUGGCUUUACUCUGAGUGAGUGUUGAUUGCUGUUUUACUUGUUCGAGAUGACCAAGUGCUUAAGGCUGCCAAAUGAAGAUGCCGAUGGUAGUUUUGUUACCUGAAUCCUCAAUUCACGACUAGGGAAUGAAAAUUCUGACAUCAAUUUCUGGAUUAGUUGCCACAAACAACAACAGGAGUAGGGAAGACUAUGAGGACUUUGUCUUGACCCCUUGUCAUAAAAUUUAUGUGAUGUAAUAUUUAAAUGGCAUGUCAAUUUUCAUUUGGUUUACUAUAGUUUCUGGCUUUCUAUUUUACAUAAACCUCUGGGUUAUUAAUGUCUAGAACUCUAGAUGUCAGGGUUUAAAUCAUGCUUGGAGAGUAAUUAGAGACUUUGGAUAUCUUGGUGUGCUGCUGAUGUGAAUAAAAUUAGAGUAGAGUAAAAUGAAAAAGUACUUGUCAGAAUUUUCACGUUAUACGUAAACAUGGAAUAAAAAAGUCAUCAAGGCAGGAGCUAAAUCAUUGUUUAGAUGAUUGGGGAAGAGGAUUCCUGAAGCACUCCUCCGUCAUAGUAUCUGUACCGGAGGUUCAUUUUGAUUGUGAUCAGGAUGGAAGUAACCUACUGAAAUCUGGCUGAAUUACAUCAACAUCUGGAAGAAUCUUGACGUACAUACUAUUUUGUUCUUCAAUGUAGAUAUUUGCUAUAUCAUGGCAUAAGUCUUCGGGAAGCUGGAAUAACUGAAUUAACAAGGCCAAGCCUUCGAGUUUUUCUGAAUGACUAAUCAACCAAAAAAAGCACUGUAUCUUUACCCUGCUACGUACCAAUCUCUCCUCACCGACACUGCUAUUUGUGUUUCUAUGAAAAACUCAGAGAUUUUUAUGGAAGUUUGUCCUGUAAAGUGCCCCAUCUUUUUAAAGAUGUAGGUACCAACUUACAACAAUAUCUCACAUUCAAUCAUAAGGAGCUUUAUUAUUAAAAUGGGUGGCCUGCUACAUAUCUGUAGGAAGACCGAAGACUCCCCACAAAGGAUCUUACUUUGUUUAGGCCGGUUAUUAUUCUUGUGAUUCCUUACUUUACAGAAGCAAAAGUCUCUCAUAAAAAGAACCAUGAAUUGUCCCUAAAAGAACUGGUCCAAUGAUUUUUCGAGUUUAUUUUGUUGGUGCGGAUAAUUUUAAUUAGCCUGGCCUCUUCCUACCUACUGGUAACUGGUAAGUAUAUCUAUAUUGAUGGUAUGUUUCAACUGAAACUUUAUAAUACUAUGAGUAUAAAAUAUCUUACAACUUUAAUGCAUUGUUUUUUAGCCUUAAUUAAUAUCAUAGGCCCUAACAUUAACACCUUCUCGAAGACGCUAAUUGGGUGUGAAACUGUGAAUGCUAAGGGACGAAGUUACGUUUUACUAACGCCCCGUUGGUGUAUAAUGGUAACGAUAUUGGCAACGAAUGUGUAAGUUUCACGGCAGGAUUUGCUCGAUUACCAUUACCAUUACCAUCUAUUACCACAUGAGAUCGAGGCGAUAUUAAGUGGUAAAGGAAUUUCGUAAAGCCAAGCCACCUAAAAUGUGUUAAGCUCCCCUUGUUUUGUAUGGGGGUACCAAUGGCUGCUAGGAGUGGAUGAACCUGCUUCAUAUUCUAUUAUUAUCUUGUUAAUUUAGUUGGUUAAUUACAUGUAAUAUUAAUAUGCUUAUAUUCGUUGCAUACGUAGCGAUAUUAAGAUAAUCCUAUUGAUUGCCAGUAAUUACACCGUAAUAAGAUCAUUAUGAAACGGA